rnacentral:tRNA from 1 species
GGCCGCCUGGCGAAAUGGCAUCGCGUCUGACUACGAAUCAGGAGAUUGCAGGUUCGACCUCUGCGGUGGUCA